ensembl:lncRNA
CAAAAGCAUGCUCGUGCGGCAGAGUCUAUUUCCGCGCUUAUAAACCCAGGGUCGUUACACUAUGUAUAGUUGUGGAGCCUCCUGCUGUAUUAUUUGUGUAACUGUAUCUGUGCAUUUAUGUGCACAUGAUCACGCAGGAUCCAGCAAAAGAGUUAUUAAACUUUGGAGAUAAUAGACUGAGGAUGAUGAAGAGGAGGAGGGGGCAGAACCCCAUGGCCGUUUCUCUGCUGUUGGUGGAGGGAGCUACCUGACAUCCAGGACCAGCCCAGGGCCUGUAGACAGGCCUCUAACUGGGAGGAUAAUGGGAGAAGAACUUCUCACAGACCUCCUCCAUUUAAGUGGGAGAUUCUCUUAUGAAAUCACCUCCACACUAGCACCCUGUUUUCAGUGGCUAACUGACUGCUAUGCUGUGUCCUUGGGCAGGACAGCACUGAUGUCCUGGGUUAUGUUACUGGUUUGCUCUGGACCUACAAGUUCUGUGCUUUCUCCAGAGCAUAUGAGUUUGUACUGGGGGCAUGCCAUUGCUACUGGCAUCAACGUUCUGUGCAACCCUGCAUCUUGCUGUAUCCUUCUCCAGAUUGUGUUCCUGUCCUGGUGCAGGAAGAGUACCACUCCGCAGCAGCAUGGAAGGGGUUCUCCAGACACAGUCUCUUGGGGGGCUUCUCUCCCCCACUCAGCACAACCCUAGAGGGAAGACUAAGAAAAACACACAGUAAGCCCAGAGUCCUCUCUGGGUUAAGGAGAUGGACUCAAUGCCUGGCAGUGUUGUUUAUGUCAUUUUAUAGCAAGCAUUGGAAUGAAAGAGCAAAUAAAGAUCUUUAAGAUAGAGAAUGAAAGACUAAAUGGUAGAUGUUUGAGAACUCCUUUUUAAGUUGCUCUUUCAUUCCUGUCCUGGCUUUGCCUCAUACAGUAUUUGAUAAUCAUCUUUAAACACAGCUCUCUUUCCUCAUGUGCGUUGGGCUUGGAUGGCACUCCUCUCUGUGUUCCCUCCAAUAACAUAAAUCUCAACAAGAUGGCUGAUAUGGGAUAUUACAUGGAUGUCAACAUUCAACCAGACUCUGUCCAGGGAAGCAGGUGUGUCAGAGAGAUCCCCCUCAGGAGGACCGUGAGAAUGGACAAACCCUGCACCUUAGAAACAUUCUCUGACUCCUCAUCCCUCAACUCUGAUGUGGAGGUCAGAUCCCAACGGAUCCUUACAUCUUCCUCACAUUCUUUAUUAACAACCUUACUAUCGUGUAAAAUCAUAUUCUACAGCAAGAUUUUGCCUAAUAUGGUUCAGUUAUUCUGAGUUUAGUAUGUGAUCGUAAAAAAUGUGAACUGUUAAACCAUUUUCUGCCACAAGAUGGUGAUAGUAUGUGAAGGAUGGUUGAAAACGUGUUGCUUUGGAUUCAUCUGCACAUCAGGGAAACCUAUUAUUUUCAGUCUUAACACAUUGUAGGCCCUGCCUAUUACCAUGUAAGGAAGGUCAAAUCAAGACCUUUACCCACAAGGUCUUCUGAAGUGCUUUGCUUGCUAACUAAGUAUGUUUAUUUAACGUUACUUCUUUAGGCUCAGGCCUUUCCAUGUCGACUGAUUUUUAUAGUGCAGUGAAAGUCCACUCAAGGGCCAUUUCAUAUGAAUUCGAUCACUUUCUGACUGCACCCCUUUUGAUUUGAACGAAACCUUCCAUACAUGUUUGCAAUGGUAGGAGUGGUCAGAAAAGUGACCUUUUGGACCUGAAUGCCAAAACAUUCAGGAGAUAGAGGUGCUCAAAGUUGACGUAUUUUGCAUACCUACCAUUAGACGUCUGUGUCUUCAUCACUGAAAAAUAUAAUUCAAAUCAAAUCAAACUUUAUUUGUCACAUGCACCGAAUACAAUAAGUGUAGACCUUACCGUGAAAUGCUUACUUACAAGCCCUUAACAGUGCAGUUCAAGAAGAGUUAAGAAAAUAUUUACCAAAUAAACUAAAGUAAAAAAUAAUAAAAAGUAACACAGUAACAUAACGAUAACGAGGCUAUGUACAAGGGGUACCGGUACCGAGUCAGUGUGCGGGGUUACAGGUUAGAGGUCAUUUGUACAUGUAGGUAGGGGUGAAGUGACUAUGCAUGGAUAAUAAACAGCGAGUAGGUGCAGUGUACAAAACAAAUGGGGGGGUCAAUGUAAUAGUUUUUAACGUUAAAGGUAUAAAAAAACAAGCUGAUUUUUGUUAUAUCAAACUCGUUUAUCUAAACGUGUAAAGUCAGAUUUGUCUCAUUUUCGCAUAGGUUUUAACUUAGACACGGAUUUAUCUGAAGUUCCAGGCAUAAGCGACAUAAGCAGGUAGCUUAGGGCACCCGGCCACAAACUCAGUCGGGGUCUUGUCACGUCCUGACCAUAGAGAGCCCUUAUUUUCUAUGGCGGAGUAGGUCAAGGCGUGACUGGGGGUUUAGUCUAGUUUAUUAUUUCUAUGUGGGGUUCUAGUUUUGUUUUUCUAUGUUGGUGAUUUUGUAUGAUUCCCAAUUAAAGGCAGCUGGUAAUGGUUGUCUCUAAUUGGGGAUCAUAUUUAAGUAGCAUUUUUUCCACCUGUGUUUUGUGGGAUAUUGUUUAUGUGUAGUUCCAUGUUAGCACGUUUAGUCUUUAUUGUUUGUUGUGUGGUUCACUUAUUUCUAAUAAAAGAUAUGCUUCCAAUGAUCGUGACAGAAUAUCCCACCACAACAGGACCAAGCAGCGUUCCCAGGAGGAGAGUGUAACAUGGACUUGGGAGGAGAUUCUGGAUGGGAAAGGAUCCUGGACUUGGGAGGAAACCCUGGCAGGACAGGAUCGCCUUUCUUGGCGGAAGACGCAAGGAGAGAAGGGAGGACAGUGACGAUGCCGGGGUUCGUGGCCACAGAGAAAGCCCAAAAGGCAGCCCAGGGGAAAAAAUGGGAGGGGGAGCACAUGGGGUGGUCGGC